rnacentral:rRNA from 1 species
GGUGAGUAACACGUGGGUAACCUGCCCAUAAGACUGGGAUAACUCCGGGAAACCGGGGCUAAUACCGGAUAACAUUUUGAACUGCAUGGUUCGAAAUUGAAAGGCGGCUUCGGCUGUCACUUAUGGAUGGACCCGCGUCGCAUUAGCUAGUUGGUGAGGUAACGGCUCACCAAGGCAACGAUGCGUAGCCGACCUGAGAGGGUGAUCGGCCACACUGGGACUGAGACACGGCCCAGACUCCUACGGGAGGCAGCAGUAGGGAAUCUUCCGCAAUGGACGAAAGUCUGACGGAGCAACGCCGCGUGAGUGAUGAAGGCUUUCGGGUCGUAAAACUCUGUUGUUAGGGAAGAACAAGUGCUAGUUGAAUAAGCUGGCACCUUGACGGUACCUAACCAGAAAGCCACGGCUAACUACGUGCCAGCAGCCGCGGUAAUACGUAGGUGGCAAGCGUUAUCCGGAAUUAUUGGGCGUAAAGCGCGCGCAGGUGGUUUCUUAAGUCUGAUGUGAAAGCCCACGGCUCAACCGUGGAGGGUCAUUGGAAACUGGGAGACUUGAGUGCAGAAGAGGAAAGUGGAAUUCCAUGUGUAGCGGUGAAAUGCGUAGAGAUAUGGAGGAACACCAGUGGCGAAGGCGACUUUCUGGUCUGUAACUGACACUGAGGCGCGAAAGCGUGGGGAGCAAACAG